AGUCGAGCGCACCUUCGGGUGAGCGGCGGACGGGUUAGUAACGCGUGGGAACAUACCCUUUGGUACGGAAUAGCCUCUGGAAACGGAGAGUAAUACCGUAUGAGCCCUUCGGGGGAAAGAUUUAUCGCCAAAGGAUUGGCCCGCGUUAGAUUAGGUAGUUGGUGGGGUAAUGGCCUACCAAGCCUACGAUCUAUAGCUGGUUUUAGAGGAUGAUCAGCAACACUGGGACUGAGACACGGCCCAGACUCCUACGGGAGGCAGCAGUGGGGAAUCUUGGACAAUGGGGGCAACCCUGAUCCAGCCAUGCCGCGUGAGUGAUGAAGGCCUUAGGGUCGUAAAGCUCUUUCGCCUGUGAAGAUAAUGACGGUAGCAGGUAAAGAAACCCCGGCUAACUCCGUGCCAGCAGCCGCGGUAAUACGGAGGGGGUUAGCGUUGUUCGGAAUUACUGGGCGUAAAGCGCACGUAGGCGGACUGGAAAGUUGGGGGUGAAAUCCCAGGGCUCAACCCUGGAACUGCCUCCAAAACUAUCAGUCUAGAGUUCGAGAGAGGUGAGUGGAAUUCCGAGUGUAGAGGUGAAAUUCGUAGAUAUUCGGAGGAACACCAGUGGCGAAGGCGGCUCACUGGCUCGAUACUGACGCUGAGGUGCGAAAGUGUGGGGAGCAAACAGGAUUAGAUACCCUGG
rnacentral:rRNA from 1 species